rnacentral:rRNA from 1 species
GACGAACGCUGGCAGCGUGCUUAACACAUGCAAGUCGAACGGAAAGGCCCCAGCUUGCUGGGGUACUCGAGUGGCGAACGGGUGAGUAACACGUGGGUGAUCUGCCCUGCACUCUGGGAUAAGCCUGGGAAACUGGGUCUAAUACCGGAUAGGACCGUGCUUUAGUGUGUGCGGUGGAAAGUUUUUCGGUGCAGGAUGAGCCCGCGGCCUAUCAGCUUGUUGGUGGGGUAAUGGCCUACCAAGGCGGCGACGGGUAGCCGGCCUGAGAGGGUGUACGGCCACAUUGGGACUGAGACACGGCCCAGACUCCUACGGGAGGCAGCAGUGGGGAAUAUUGCACAAUGGGCGCAAGCCUGAUGCAGCGACGCCGCGUGGGGGAUGACGGCCUUCGGGUUGUAAACCCCUUUCGGCAGGGACGAAGCUUUUGUGACGGUACCUGCAUAAGAAGCACCGGCUAACUACGUG